GCCCCUUUAGUCUAGUUGGAUAGGACGCAACCCUGCGGAGGUUGAAACCCGGGUUCAAAUCCCGGAGGGGGCA
rnacentral:tRNA from 1 species